GAAACGUCAUUGCUUGCAGAUGCCUUGGAAAGUUACAGAGGAAAGAUAUAAACUCUGUGCAGGCACACAGCCUCUGCUCAGAGGUUCCUACGAGGAAGAUGGAACAAGUAAGCGAGCCCUGAAUUGCUGUUUUCAUCAUUAUCAUCACCACCGAGAGCAUCCAAUGGAACACUUGUGAUGCUUUUCCAUUGACGUGAUGGUUUCACACAUCUUAGCUCACUGAGUUCUCCAGCAUACAGUGAAGUCAGCAUUCACAUUUUUAUGAUUCUUCUUCAGGUGUCCUUCUAUGGCCUGUAGAAGGCACUGUCCCUGGCCCUCCCUUAGGCCCUGGUACUGUCAACCUCAUGGCUUCUUAUUAUAAAUAGUGCAAGGCCCUUCCCGCGGGCUCCCUGGCACAUGCACUAGCCCAGCCUUGCCAGGCAUGUUGAGGAGUCACAGCCCUGGGAGCAGCCUGACGGGAGCUGAUGGCUCCACCACCCCCGCCGUGGGACAUCUCUGAGGCCCCUACACAGUCUCCCGAGUCCCAGUGGGGUUAAUCCUCAGUCGGUCUCUGAGGCUGAAGAAUGCUCCGGAGCCAAGCACAGAGUGCUCCGGGCACCCGAGGAUACAGAGCAAAGAGAAGCCCGCUAUCAGGCGGAUUCUUUACCACUGAGCCACCCGGGAAGCCCAUUGAUUAUUUUUUUAAGAAAAUUGAUCAUCUCUUGAAGUGGGCUC